AAAAGAAAAAGGGGUGAAAAGAACAAAGUUUUGUCCAUCUUUGUUCAUCAUAUCCGAAAGUUAGAGAAGAGAAAGGAGAGGAGAAAGCUCUUGAAUGUUUGGUCACUUGGGGAAGAAAAUUGAAGGCGGUUCGUGUGUGGAUCUUGUCAGCAUAUCGUCGCAAACAGCUGAGCCUUGAUGUGGGUGACUUGGAGCCAGAGGGGA